ACGAACGCUGGCGGCGUGCUUAACACAUGCAAGUCGAACGAAGAGCGAUGGAAGCUUGCUUCUAUCAAUCUUAGUGGCGAACGGGUGAGUAACGCGUAAUCAACCUGCCCUUCAGAAGGGGACAACAGUUGGAAACGACUGCUAAUACCGCAUACGAUCUAAUCUCGGCAUCGAGGAUAGAUGAAAGGUGGCCUCUACAUGUAAGCUAUCACUGAAGGAGGGGAUUGCGUCUGAUUAGCUAGUUGGAGGGGUAACGGCCCACCAAGGCGAUGAUCAGUAGCCGGUCUGAGAGGAUGAACGGCCACAUUGGGACUGAGACACGGCCCAGACUCCUACGGGAGGCAGCAGUGGGGAAUCUUCCGCAAUGGACGAAAGUCUGACGGAGCAACGCCGCGUGAGUGAUGACGGCCUUCGGGUUGUAAAGCUCUGUUAAUCGGGACGAAAGGCCUUCUUGCGAAUAGUGAGAAGGAUUGACGGUACCGGAAUAGAAAGCCACGGCUAACUACGUG
rnacentral:rRNA from 1 species